rnacentral:tRNA from 1 species
AUUAAAAUAGCUCAAACUUAGAGUUUUGCAUUGAAGCUGCAAAGGUGGCCAUGGCCUUUUGAUA